GGCCAUAUCACACUGAAACACCGGUUCUCAUACGAUCACCAAAGUUAAGCAAUAUUGAGCCUGGUUAGUAUCUAGAUGGUUGACUGCUUGGGAAUUCCAGGUACUGUG